GCUCAUGUAGCUCAGAGGUAGAGCGCGUCCUUGGUAAGGACGAGGUCGCGGGUUCAAUUCCCGCCAUGAGCU
rnacentral:tRNA from 2 species